GGGCGGAAAAUGGGCCGUACAGCUUCGACCUGGAAUUCAUUGUCAAGUCAUCCGCAACUGUUUGUUUAGUCAAAACAACAAUUCAGUUUGAUCGAAUCGUCUAGUUUCGUUUGUUUGCUGUGUUUCCAUGUUACGUUUUAAGAUUUAUUGAUUGGAAUUAAUCCUAUUUUAUUUACAUUCCACUUAUUUUGAUUUCAUAAAUCAAAAUCAAGAUCAAAAUGAAAAUGAGAAAAAGAAAGAAGAAUGAAAAAAG
rnacentral:lncRNA from 1 species